rnacentral:rRNA from 1 species
UACGUAGGAUCCGAGCGUUGUCCGGAAUUAUUGGGCGUAAAGGGCUCGUAGGCGGUUCGUCACGUCGGGAGUGAAAACUCGGAGCUUAACUCCGAGCCUGCUUCCGAUACGGGCAGACUAGAGGUAGGCAGGGGAGAGCGGAACUCCUGGUGUAGCGGUGGAAUGCGCAGAUAUCAGGAAGAACACCCGUGGCUAAGGCGGCUCUCUAGUACGGUACUGACGCUGAGACGCGAAAGCGUGGGGAGCGAACAGG